rnacentral:rRNA from 1 species
UACGGGGGGGGCAAGCGUUGUUCGGAUUUACUGGGCGUAAAGGGAGCGUAGGCGGUUAGUCAAGUCCUGUGUGAAAGCUUUACCACUUAACGGAAAGAGGUCACAGGAAACUGGCUGGCUAGAGUGGGGUAGAGGCAAGCGGAAUUCCUGGUGUAGCGGUGGAAUGUGUAGAUAUCAGGAAGAACAUCGGUGGCGAAGGCGGCUUGCUGGGCCCUUACUGACGCUGAGGCUCGAAAGCGUGGGGAGCAAACGGG